rnacentral:rRNA from 1 species
GGACUACAGGGGUAUCUAAUCCUGUUUGCUACCCACGCUUUCGUGCCUCAGCGUCAGAACAGGCCCAGGAGGUUGCCUUCGCCAUCGGUGUUCUUCCAGAUAUCUACGCAUUUCACCGCUACACCUGGAGUUCCGCCUCCCUCUACCGUUCUCGAGUUUGACAGUAUCGACUGCAAUUCCCAGGUUAAGCCCGGGGCUUUCACAAUCGACUUAUCAAACCGCCUACGCACGCUUUACGCCCAGUAAAUCCGAUUAACGCUAGCACCCUCUGUAUUACCGCGGCUGCUGGCAC